UGCCUACCUAUGUCGUUCUCAAAUUACAUGAUAGAGUCCAUGUUCAGGAUCUUUUAAACCAAAAGGAGUUACUGAGUCCAGUAUAAAAUCCAUAACAUAUGGGCAGGGCUUAUCUUAGCAGUUUUCCCAGGCAAUAGCUGAGGAACUGCAAACUGCCUAUAAGCCCACUAAGACAAGGUGGUGGCAUUACAAAUAGUUUGUCUACUUGGGAAAUAUUCCCUGUGGUUUGAGGGCCCCGUGUUUUGUUGUUGUUGUUGUUGUUUUAUUUUAUUUUGUUUUAUUUGUUUGUUUUAAUGGGUACAAUCCGGUCUUCUGAUCCUCUGGGGUCCAGGGCAGGCUUUCCUUUGAGGCAGGUUUCACAUCCUAUGGGGACUGGUUAAUCUUGAGAGCUGGGUUAAUGUUGUCACUUGGUUUGGGGCAGUACUUGGCUUGCAAACUCCAUCGUGGGUUAGAGGUAGAAAGGGCCAGCGACCAGAGGCUGCAUAUGCUCUCACUAACACCUUCUCGGUUACUCUUCCUCUGGAAGCUUGGAGGAGGCAGAAUUUGGAAGAGCAGGUGAAGUGUUCAGACGGAAGCUGGCGAGACCUCCACAAAAGGGAAGGAACCGAAGGCUGCAAGAGAAGCUGAACCAGGCACCAGCCAAGGGUGAGGUUCCAUUCUGCCUUCUUUGCCAAAGAUCUGGACUCCAUAAAUGGCAGAGGAGAGGAGCGUGCAUCAGACCACAAACUCUGCAAGAAGGUUCCAACCAGGCAAGGCCUAAAUCAGAUGCCUUUGAAAUUUCUGCAUACACAUACGUCCCUUUUUGUAAACUAACACCAAUCAUAAUCUACUCUGCAGUGCACAACGCAUCUAAAAAGCACCCACAUUUAUUCUGGGUAAAUCCUGCUAGUCUUUUACACUCUUGCAGUGAUGAGCUUAUUGACUCAAGAAGAUCCAUCUACAUUGCUGAUGUAAACCCAGAGACAAGCGUCCGGGAAGUUGUCUCAACACUGUAAGAGUUCUGUGUUUCAAAUUUCAAAAAAUAAACACGUAUUGUUUUGUGAAUGUGAUAAAAGCUUAAGCUUGGUGUCUACCUAAUUUUAAACAGGAUGUCGAUCUGAAUAAAAUUGUAAACAU
rnacentral:lncRNA from 1 species